rnacentral:tRNA from 1 species
GCCCAAAUAGCUCAGUUGGGAGAGCGUUAGUCUUUAAAUCGAAGGGUCCCUGGUUCGAUCCCGGGUUCCUUAA